GAUGAACGCUGGCGGCGUGCCUAAUACAUGCAAGUCGAGCGAACAGACGAGGAGCUUGCUCCUCUGACGUUAGCGGCGGACGGGUGAGUAACACGUGGAUAACCUACCUAUAAGACUGGGAUAACUUCGGGAAACCGGAGCUAAUACCGGAUAAUAUAUUGAACCGCAUGGUUCAAUAGUGAAAGACGGCUUUGCUGUCACUUAUAGAUGGAUCCGCGCCGCAUUAGCUAGUUGGUAAGGUAACGGCUUACCAAGGCAACGAGGCGUAGCCGACCUGAGAGGGUGAUCGGCCACACUGGAACUGAGACACGGUCCAGACUCCUACGGGAGGCAGCAGUAGGGAAUCUUCCGCAAUGGGCGAAAGCCUGACGGAGCAACGCCGAGUGAGUGAUGAAGGUCUUCGGAUCGUAAAACUCUGUUAUUAGGGAAGAACAAAUGUGUAAGUAACUAUGCACGUCUUGACGGUACCUAAUCAGAAAGCCACGGCUAACUACGUG
rnacentral:rRNA from 1 species